rnacentral:rRNA from 1 species
GGGAAACUGAGAAUAAAUCGCGAUAGGUCAAGAUUUCUGGAAUGAUUCUUGGUCAAAAUCUAUAUGGCCUCUGGAUUGGACUGCGGCCGAUCAGGCUGUUGGUGAGGUAAUGGCCCACCAAACCUAUAACCGGUACGGGCUCUGAGAGGAGAAGCCCGGAGAUGGGCACUGAGACAAGGGCCCAGGCCCUAUGGGGCGCAGCAGGCGCGAAACCUUUGCAAUAGGCGAAAGCCUGACAAGGUUAUUCUGAGUGAUUUCCGCUAAGGGGAUCUUUUGACACCUCUAAAAAUGGUGUAGAAUAAGGGGUGGGCAAGUCUGGUGUCAGCCGCCGCGGUAAUACAGCACCCCGAGUGGUCGGGACGAUUAUUGGGCCUAAGCAUCCGUAGCCGGUUUUACAGUCUUCCGUUAAAUCAGCCCGCUCACCGGAUGGGCUGCGAAGGAUACGGAAAAAUUGGAGGCGGGAAAGGCAACGGGACUUAAUGGGAAGGGAAAAAUCCCCUGAUCCCUUAAAA